CUUACCCGCGGAGCCGGGUCUGACCUGCUACGCUCCUCGGCGGCGAAAAGGCCGGCGCCCCGCAUCGGGACUGCUGCGGUGCGCGGAAGGGGGUUGCCCUAGCGAGAAGACGCCUCUCCUGCUCGUGUGUCGCCAAAAAAACAACAUCAGCGUCACCACCAUCACUAAUGCCCGCUGACGGCUCCGCGUCCCCGUGGGAGUCACCGUUAGCUGUCGCCUCCGGGCAGCACCCGAGCGGCACCUGCCGCAGCUGGGGUGCUGGUUGUUGGCAUGAGCCGGGAGAAGCCUUGCGGGAGCAGCCCUGUCCGAGGGGUGAUCGCUUGCUGGAGUAGAAAAAGGACUAGAGGACAGUAAGGGGAGAAUGAUGUGUUGCCUUGCUGUAUGCACCCUGUAAGGACUGGUCUGGGGCUGCAGAAAGGAAGGAGUACUUCUAGCAGCUUUUUGUAACCUCAUUUCUCUGCUCUCCACCACAUCCUGUAUGAACAGGUCACCAUUUGUACUGGCAGCACAACCAGGACAGCAACAGGGUAUUGAAGUGUGACUGGACAGUCUGCAGUUGCUUGGGCUGUUCUUUGAGUUCUUUUUAAGUGUAAGUGCAACGUUUCUACUGUUGGCAGGGAUAUCCAUGGCUCCUCACAGAUUAUUGAAAUCUUGUGCUGGCAUCAGACGGCUUUCUCAGCAUCCCUGGACACAGCCCUGGUAUUUCCAUGGACUUGUAUAGCCAAGUUUUCUCCAGUAACUCUAAUUCACCCACUCAUGGUCAUGUCUCUCCUCCAUGAAUACCAGGCCUGAAGUCCUAGGAGACCUUGCUGUGUAAAGAAGGUAUUGAGUUCCUCAGGUUUGAUUGCAUCCACUUAGAGUAAAACACCCAGCCUACUCAGUGAGCAGAUACCAUUUUCCUUGUUCAGCUGCUUACCAUUUAUGAGCUGAAGCUCUUUUUGUUACUACUGACAUGCAAGUUAAAAUUCCAGCUGAGCUUUUACUUUCCUGACACCAUUCCUACAUGCCCAGGCAAUGUUUGUAAAUUCCUCCUGUGUAGCCCAUCCCUACUUCCAUCUUCUGUGUAUUCCUUUUUUACACUGGAGUUCUGCCAGAAUCCCAUUUACCCAAGCCGGCCUGCUUAUUUACCUCUUUUUUUCCUGAACACUGAGAUGGCCUGUUGUUACACUUGGGUGAAGCUUCAGAGAUCUCCUCACUGCUGGAAGGAGUGACAGAGGGAAAAGCAGCUGUGAAAGAGGUGGGGAAGAAGAUGUCCUGAGCUGCAGAGCUAAAGAGUCAGAUACCUUUGGAAGGAGUGACAGAGGGAAAAGCAGCUGUGCAAGAGGUGGGGAACAAGAUGUCCUGAGCUGCAGAGCUAAAGAGUCUGCACCUUAGGUCUGCACCUUUGGGUUGACUAGCACUGAGUAAGUUGCAACCCUUUCAUUGUGGCUGGGGCAUUAGUAAUAUCCUCCUGCAUGGAUCAUCUGCUUGCUGCUGACACUGCAGGUUUCUGUGCUGCGGUGCUAAUAGGUUCUCGUCUCUCCUUAGCCACAGGUUUUCAGGAAACUGUAGGGACUUUCAUGAUGUUAGGAAUGCUGCUUCUCUUGGUAACAUUAAAAAAAAAAAAAAGACAGAAAGGAGAAGGAAAUAGUUGAACUUAGUGGUUUUGUGCAUUCUGUACUGUCAAAGGAGCCCGCAUAGUACCUGAAAGUGUAAUUAAAGGCCAUGCAAGCUCAUUAAAUACAGAAUGUGUGUAUGGGGGUGGCGGUGGAAUUAGGAUUGCUCAAGCAAUUUUUAUUCUGGCAUUUCCUAAUGUUUUAAUGUUUAAAUUAGCAAGACUUAAUUAAUUUUCAUUACACAAAAAUAUGGUGAAAAGUGCUGUUGUUACAUAAAUGGAUCCACUAUCCAUUGCUUUUUUCUCGCUAGAUCUCAGGAGCAAAAGGAGGUUUCCCCCAGGGAAUUUUGAUU